rnacentral:rRNA from 1 species
GAGUUUGCUCCUGGCUCAGGAUGAACGCUAGCGGCAGGCUUAAUACAUGCAAGGCGAGGGGGCAGCAAUGUCACCGUCGUACGGGUGCGUAACGCGUAUGCAACCUACCUUCAACUGGGGGAUAGCCCGGGGAAACCCGGAUUAAUACCGCAUAACACAAUGGAGUCACCUGGUUUUAUUGUUAAAGAUUUAUUGGUUGAAGAUGGGCAUGCGUUCGAUUAGCUAGUUGGCGGGGUAACGGCCCACCAAGGCGACGAUCAGUAGCCGACCUGAGAGGGUGAACGGCCACACUGGAACUGAGACACGGUCCAGACUCCUACGGGAGGCAGCAGUGGGGAAUAUUGCACAAUGGGCGCAAGCCUGAUGCAGCAACGCCGCGUGAAUGAUGAAGGCCUUCGGGUCGUAAAGUUCUGUCCUAAGGGAAGAAUACAGUGACGGUACCUUAGGAGGAAGCCCCGGCUAACUACGUGCCAGCAGCCGCGGUAAUACGUGGGGGGCAAGCGUUAUCCGGAAUCACUGGGCGUAAAGGGAGCGUAGGCGGUUUGACAAGCCAGAGGUGAAAGGCAAUAGCUUAACUAUUGUAAGCCUUUGGAACUGUCGAACUUGAGUGCAGGAGAGGAAAGUGGAAUUCCUAGUGUAGCGGUGAAAUGCGUAGAUAUUAGGAGGAACACCAGUGGCGAAGGCGACUUUCUGGACUGUAAACUGACGCUGAGGCUCGAAAGCGUGGGGGAGCGAACAGGAUUAGAUACCCUGGUAGUCCACGCUGUAAACGAUGAAUACUAGGUGUCUGGUGUCAAAGCUAGGUGCCGCAGCUAACGCAUUAAGUAUUCCGCCUGGGGAGUACGCACGCAAGUGUGAAACUCAAAGGAAUUGACGGGGACCCGCACAAGCAGCGGAGCAUGUGGUUUAAUUCGAUGAUACGCGAGGAACCUUACCCGGGCUUGAAUUGCAUUUGAAUACGGCAGAAACGUCGUAGCCAGCAAUGGCAAAUGUGAAGGUGCUGCAUGGUUGUCGUCAGCUCGUGCCGUGAGGUGUCGGCUUAAGUGCCAUAACGAGCGCAACCCUCAUCAUUAGUUACUAACAGGUCAUGCUGAGGACUCUAAUGAGACUGCCAGCGUAAGCUGUGAGGAAGGUGGGGAUGACGUCAAAUCAGCACGGCCCUUACGUCCGGGGCGACACACGUGUUACAAUGGGGGGGACAGCAGGCAGCUACACGGCGACGUGAUGCCAAUCCCUAAACCCCCUCUCAGUUCGGAUCGAAGUCUGCAACCCGACUUCGUGAAGCUGGAUUCGCUAGUAAUCGCGCAUCAGCCAUGGCGCGGUGAAUACGUUCCCGGGCCUUGUACACACCGCCCGUCAAGCCAUGGAAGUUGGGGGUGCCUAAAGUACGUAACCGCAAGGAGCGUCCUAGGGCAAAACCGAUAACUGGGGCUAAGUCGUAACAAGGUAACCGUA